rnacentral:rRNA from 1 species
UCUGGAGGCAGUAGCGCGGUGGUCCCACCUGACCCCAUGCCGAACUCAGAAGUGAAACGCCGUAGCGCCGAUGGUAGUGUGGGGUCUCCCCAUGCGAGAGUAGGGAACUGCCAGAC